rnacentral:tmRNA from 1 species
ACUCUUUCAAUUCGGCGAAACAGCCCCUAUAUAAGAGCUGCUGGCUUCGGCCAGCUAUGGCGAUAAACGGACGAUGUAAUAAGCUUAUUGGACCCGGGGGCGGUACCCGGCGCCUCCACCACAACGCAGCAGGUUUCGCUGCGUUGUGGCGGGGGCGAAAUAGGAUCGACAAGAGUGUAAAGAUCGAACUUUUGCCCGGCAUUGUACCACCGUUAUCGGGCUAACCUAGUAGUUGCAAACGACAACUAUGCGGAAGCACGUCUCGCCGCUUAAUGCGGUGCGAUAGCUUCAAAUCAAGUCCUAGGGGUUCGCACUUCUAGGCGGGGUUCGGAGGCACCUGGCAACAGAAGCCUUCACU